rnacentral:tRNA from 1 species
UACCCUAUGGCUCAGUUGGUUAGCGCGUGGAGCUGUUAUCUCUAGCACACUCCGAGGUCCCAGGUUCGAGCCCUGGUGGGGUAG